rnacentral:lncRNA from 1 species
AUGGCAUUGCAGAGUGCCGGGGAUACCUUGAAUAAACAAUUCAGUCAAGCAGCGACUGACUGCAGGACUCAAGAGCACUAGAAAACUGCACAUGUGGGGAAUAGACGCUGUCAGCCCCAGUCACCUUCAUGUUUUUCUAUUAUUAUUAUUAUUAUUUUUUUUUUUACAACUGAAUUGUUCGUAAAGAGAAAUAAAUACGCGUCUCUGACUGUCCCGAAUGCAGCAUAAUUUUCAACGUGAUUCUGUUUUUUUCACCACCCGAACAGGUCCGUCACCAGCUGACCUUGUGGACAGAAUUUCUGGAUGUGAGCAGUGAAUACACUCACAAACUUGGAGCUUUGAAGUACAAAUCCAGUGCCAUGGAAUCCCACAAGACUGACUGCAUUAUGAUCCUGUACUUACCUUAACAAUGACAAACAUGAUUUUAAACAAAAUUCAUGCUUAGCUCUUGCCUCCUGUAUGGGGCUUGUGAAGCUACAUUAGACCUUUCUUUUACCUAAAAAACAAGGUUUGGAAGCUAAAAACUGCAAGGUGUCUUGGCAGAACGUAACAGAGAACGUUUUUCCCCUCUAUUGUGGUGGCCAACCAUAC